rnacentral:rRNA from 1 species
CCUACGGGUGGCAGCAGUGAGGAAUAUUGGUCAAUGGGCGAGAGUCUGAACCAGCCAAGUCGCGUGAAGGAUGAAGGAUCUAUGGUUUGUAAACUUCUUUUAUAUGGGAAUAAAGUGAGGAACGUGUUCCUUUUUGUAUGUACCAUAUGAAUAAGCAUCGGCUAAUUCCGUGCCAGCAGCCGCGGUAAUACGGAGGAUGCGAGCGUUAUCCGGAUUUAUUGGGUUUAAAGGGUGCGCAGGUCGUUCAGUAAGUCGGCGGUGAAAGUUUGUGGCUCAACCAUAGAAUUGACGUUGAAACUGGUUGACUUGAGUAUAUUUGAGGUAGGCGGAAUGCGUGGUGUAGCGGUGAAAUGCAUAGAUAUCACGCAGAACUCCGAUUGCGAAGGCAGCUUACUAAACUAUAACUGACACUGAAGCACGAAGGCGUGGGGAUCGAACAGGAUUAGAUACCCGAGUAGUC